ensembl:misc_RNA
CUGACAGUCCUGGAGCCUGAAGUCAUCUCAUUAUCCACAGAGCAGGUGCAGCACGGGAGGCAGCAGGGUAGGUUUUUUCAGCACGGAUCUGACAAGCCCUGCCUUUAGCAGUAAGAUGCCAGUUUUCUGUGACAGAUAAAUUGUUGAUCUCCU